GAUGAACGCUAGCUACAGGCUUAACACAUGCAAGUCGAGGGGCAGCACAGUGUAGCAAUACAUGGGUGGCGACCGGCGCACGGGUGCGUAACGCGUAUCCAACCUUCCCGUUACUCAGGGAUAGCCUUCCGAAAGGGAGAUUAAUACCUGAUGGUAUUCAAAUUUCGCAUGUUAUUUGAAUUAAAGAUUUAUCGGUAACGGAUGGGGAUGCGUGACAUUAGAUAGUAGGCGGGGUAACGGCCCACCUAGUCUACGAUGUCUAGGGGUUCUGAGAGGAAGGUCCCCCACACUGGAACUGAGACACGGUCCAGACUCCUACGGGAGGCAGCAGUGGGGAAUAUUGGGCAAUGGAGGCAACUCUGAACCAGCCAAGUAGCGUGCAGGACGACGGCCCUAUGGGUUGUAAACUGCUUUUAUGCGGGGAUAAAUGAGCCUACGUGUAGGUUUUUGCAGGUACCGCAUGAAUAAGGACCGGCUAAUUCCGUG
rnacentral:rRNA from 1 species